GACCAGACUCCUACGGGAGGCAGCAGUGGGGAAUAUUGCACAAUGGGGGAAACCCUGAUGCAGCGACGCCGCGUGAGUGAAGAAGUAUUUCGGUAUGUAAAGCUCUAUCAGCAGGGAAGAAGUUGACGGUACCUGAGUAAGAAGCCCCGGCUAACUACGUGCCAGCAGCCGCGGUAAUACGUAGGGGGCAAGCGUUAUCCGGAUUUACUGGGUGUAAAGGGAGCGUAGACGGCAGUGCAAGUCUGAAGUGAAAGCCCCGGGCUUAACCCGGGACCGCAUUGGAAACUGGCAUGCUGGAGUGCCGGAGGGGCAAGCGGAAUUCCUAGUGUAGCGGUGAAAUGCGUAGAUAUUAGGAGGAACACCGGUGGCGAAGGCGGCUUGCUGGACGGUAACUGACGUUGAGGCUCGAAAGCGUGGGGAGCAAACAGGAUUAGAUACCCCUGUAA
rnacentral:rRNA from 1 species